AGAGUUUGAUCCUGGCUCAGAUUGAACGCUGGCGGCAUGCCUUACACAUGCAAGUCGAACGGCAGCACGGGAGCAAUCCUGGUGGCGAGUGGCGAACGGGUGAGUAAUGUAUCGGAACGUGCCCAGUCGUGGGGGAUAACGCAGCGAAAGCUGUGCUAAUACCGCAUACGAUCUCUGGAUGAAAGCGGGGGACUCGCAAGGGCCUCGCGCGAUUGGAGCGGCCGAUAUCAGAUUAGCUAGUUGGUGGGGUAAAAGCCCACCAAGGCGACGAUCUGUAGCUGGUCUGAGAGGACGACCAGCCACACUGGAACUGAGACACGGUCCAGACUCCUACGGGAGGCAGCAGUGGGGAAUUUUGGACAAUGGGCGCAAGCCUGAUCCAGCAAUGCCGCGUGCAGGAUGAAGGCCUUCGGGUUGUAAACUGCUUUUGUACGGAACGAAACGGCGAGCUCUA
rnacentral:rRNA from 1 species